AAUGCCCAUUGAAUUGGAGGAGCAUGUUGGAAUUAUUCAGGCCUUAAGCCCAAACCGAAUGGGGCCCUGGUUCGGGUUAGGCCAUGAGUUUAAGCAGCGAACUCAAACUUCAGAAUGCGAAUCCAAUAUGCCACUUCAGGAAGAAGCUCAACACGUGACCAAACCGCUUCGCCUUCGUCUUUAGAUCUUCAUCAUCUUCGUAACGAUUUCAAAAGUCUGAUGAGUAAGCUCAGUAAUCUCCACAUUGAAACUUACAACCGGGAUCUAAGUGCAUAUUCACCUCAAAUUCGGCCAUGGAGGAAGAGGCAUCCCCACAUCUAUCACGUUCUCAACUCUUGGUUCACCUUCGGAGAGCUCCAUUGGAAUGAACACACGGUUGCAGGAAACCGUGCUGAAUCGUAUGCGCAAAGAAAGAAGUGAAAUUAAAGCGGUUUGAGAAAACUAACUGAAUCGCGACGUAGAGAGGGUUGUAAAUAAUUGUUGACGUGGGGAUGAAGUGGAUUGGGUUUUCGUGGCUUCCAUCAUGCUCACUUGGCCUAGGUUUGGCAGGCUCGAAGCAAAUCUCGCCUUGCUGGUGCGGUAUUCCUACGGGUGUCGGUUCAUUUGAUGACUUGUAAGGCUGUUUCGUGAGAUGCUUCUUAUGGCAUGUUUGGUCUGAUUACUAGUUAUGUUAGUGAAGUUUAGCUCAUCUAUUAUGCGUUGCCGGCUUGUGACAUUUUCAUUAUACGUGAAGUUGUUAUGGGACCUUUAUAGUUUCGAAUGUUCUGAACAGGAUCAAUUAGGACAUGUUAAAAUUAGAAAAUCACAAUAUACAAUGGUGCCAUGUGGUAGCUUGAAUCGGGACUGACGUAGGUUGUGUCUCAGAUUUAUUUGCUGCAAGUUAAAUGGUGAGUUGUAAUGCUGCCAUAAAACAUUAUUCUUAUGUUAACUGUCAUGCCAGUGGUGCUAUUUGCCAUGGAUGAAAUGGUAUACGGCUAGACUCUAAUGAAUUGUUACAUAGUGAUGCUUGGCGGUUGGUUGCUGUUAGCUCAUAUUUUCGACGCCCACCUUAAAUUAUCAAAAUUGGAAAAUACACACAACUGGUUUCGACCAAAAAGUAAUAUUCGAUCAGCUGGAGGUUAAUUGGCUUGGCUAGUUGGAUAAAGAUCAAACUCAUAGCUGAAAUUUCGGAGCAGUUCUUUAGAAAAGCGGUUAAAAAACGGUUUUCGAUCAAAGAUUCAAAAUUUAAAUAAAGGAGGGAAUUUCACCUUCGUCAGAAAUCGCAAGAGCACACGUGGAGCAGGAUGAACAUAUGCGCGCAUGCAGGGCGCCACGUGUAUCAACGUGAUUGAAGGACCAUCAAAGCGGUUAUUUCGAUCAUAUAGGGUCUUAGUGUUAGAAAAGUGUGUGUCAAAUUGUGUACAAAAUCUGUAAAUUUACGAAGUAUUCGUGUGAAGAAGAAUUGUAAAAUGCAGAAUGUACGUUGUCUACACCAUUAUUAUUUAUUUCAUAGCAAUAUAAAUUUGUCUUUA